GAAAACUUAGUUCGGUUUCUAGAAGGUUUUUGCUGAGCUGAAGAUCACUGUGUGAAUAAUAAUGCAGGCACCAAGCUUACAUUUGGAGGGGGAACAAGGUUAAUGGUCAAACCCCAUAUCAAGAACCCUGACCCCGCCGUGUACCAGCUGAGAAGCCCUAAAUCCAGCAACACUUCCGUCUGCCUAUUCACCGACUUUGAUUCUAAAAUCACCAAUGUGACACAAGAACCGGGAGUGUUCGGCUCUAGCAGCACGGCACUGGACAUGAAGGCCGUGGGUUCAAAGAGCAACGGGGCACUGCGCUGGAGUGCCAGCUCUCAUUUCUCCUGUGAAUCCACCUUCAACGAGUCCUUCUACUCCAGCUCAGAAAUUCCCUGUGAUGCCACAUUGAUAGAGAAAAGCUUUGAAACAGAUAUGAACCUGAACUUCCAAAACCUGUCCGUGAUCGGGCUCCGCAUCCUCUUCCUGAAAGUGGCCGGCUUUAACCUGCUCAUGACGCUGCGGCUGUGGUCCAGCUGAGGUCAGCAAGAAUGUGAGAGCCCAAUGCUCCUCACUGCUCGCUCCUCGCCAUCCUUCACUCCCUCAAGAAGAGACGCGCUCUCAGCCUCCAUGAAGGAGAAGGCUUCAUCCACCUCUAGGGCCCCACUGACAAUGCCACCAACUGGAUCCUACCAGAUAUUUGCAACCAAGAUGUUGAAGAGCUGCCAAACGCUGCUACCUCUCCUUCUGUCUCUCCCCGCCCCCCCCCCCACCCACCCACCCACUGCUGCCUGUACUGCCCCAUGUUCCCAGCAAAGGCAGGGGCUCCUGCAGCCUCUCCUGGCUGUGGCCCCCCUACCCCUGCCAGAGGCUGCUUCUGCUGCCCCGCUGGGUGGUGGGUCACCAGGGGGUUCUCUCAGGUUCUAGCUCCUGGAGAAUGUUGAGAGGAGUUUAUAUUUUUUUUAAAUAAUGUUCAUAAAGAAAUAUAUAUCACGCUUUUCCCCAAGAUGUGGGGGAAAUUAUCUCAUUACCUAGGCCCUGCUGUGCUGUGUAUCUGAGCCACAUUGUAUAUUCUGCUGCCCUGGCUUCAUUAAAAGUGACUUGGAAGAGCAAA